rnacentral:rRNA from 1 species
UACGGAGGGUGCGAGCGUUGUCCGGAAUCACUGGGCGUAAAGGGCGCGUAGGCGGCCUGAUAAGUAGGGGGUGAAAUCCUGCGGCUUAACCGCAGGGCUGCCUUCUAAACUGUCAGGCUCGAGCACAGUAGAGGCAGGUGGAACUCCUGGUGUAGCGGUGGAAUGCGCAGAUAUCAGGAAGAACACCAACGGCGAAGGCGACCACCUGGACUGAUACUGACACUGAGGUGCGAAAGCGUGGGGAGCAAACAGG